ACGCUGAAGGAAGGAGCUUGCUCUUUCCGGAUGAGUUGCGAACGGGUGAGUAACGCGUAGGUAACCUGCCUGGUAGCGGGGGAUAACUAUUGGAAACGAUAGCUAAUACCGCAUAACAGUAGAUGUUGCAUGACAUUUGCUUAAAAGGUGCAAUUGCAUCACUACCAGAUGGACCUGCGUUGUAUUAGCUAGUUGGUGGGGUAACGGCUCACCAAGGCGACGAUACAUAGCCGACCUGAGAGGGUGAUCGGCCACACUGGGACUGAGACACGGCCCAGACUCCUACGGGAGGCAGCAGUAGGGAAUCUUCGGCAAUGGACGGAAGUCUGACCGAGCAACGCCGCGUGAGUGAAGAAGGUUUUCGGAUCGUAAAGCUCUGUUGUAAGAGAAGAACGAGUGUGAGAGUGGAAAGUUCACACUGUGACGGUAUCUUACCAGAAAGGGACGGCUAACUACGUGCCAGCAGCCGCGGUAAU
rnacentral:rRNA from 1 species